rnacentral:rRNA from 1 species
GACGAACGCUGGCGGCGUGCCUAAUACAUGCAAGUAGAACGCAGUUGCGAACGGGUGAGUAACGCGUAGGUAACUGUCGCAUAGCGGGGGAUAACUAAUGGAAACGCAAGCUAAUACACAUCACUGUGAGCUGGACAUGUGUUGUAUUAGCUAGUUGGUGAGGUAAAGGCUCACCAAGGCGACGAUACAUAGCCGACCUGAGCGGGGUAGCGGCCACACGUGGACUGAGACCCGGCCCAGACUCCUACGGUAGGCAGCAGUAGGGAAUCUUCGGCAAUGGACGUAAGUCUGACCGAGCAACGCCGCGUGAGUGAAGAAGGGUGUCGGAUCGUAAAGCUCUGUUUUUAGAGACGCGGUAACUACCCAGAAAGGGACGGCUAACUACGUGCCAGCCGCCGCGGUAAUAC